CCGUUAGAAAUGUAUUUCGAGGUUAUCUUUCUUGUAUCACUUGGAAGUAUUUAUUCAGAGAAGUGUAAUAAUCCAUUGAUUAUACAGCAAACAAAAACAGAAGUCGAUUUUUUAUCGAACAGGCUGACAGCACUUCAAGCAAAACUUUCUUCAUGUAAAGGGGAACCUCCAAUUUCUUCAUAUACUGCCUUUACAGCUACAUUAUCUACAAAUGGUGUAACAUUGUCAAAAGGAAAAAUUGUCAAAUACAGCCGGGUUCUUGCUAACAUUGGAAAUUGUUACGAUUCCGCUACAGGUGUUUUUACUAUUAAAACGCCCGGUGUUUACUCUAUCUCUGCUUCUAUGAUGACUCCUCCGAACAAGGGAUCUCAUCUUUCCUUAAUGAAAAAUGGACAGAUUUUGGUAUGGCUAUACACAGGAGGUCCAUAUGACAUGGCAUCGCAGACAGUAAACGUGGCACUGUCAGGAGGAGAUAAGCUUUGGAUUCAAAUGCAAUCCGGGACACGUCUUCAUGGAAAUGAAUUUUAUAAUCUGUUUACUGCAGCUUUGAUAAAGCCCGGGAACUUUUGAAAAAAACUGAAGGAGUGACUCAAAUAUAAUUUGAUGAAUAUUAAAGAAAUAUUAACUAUA